rnacentral:rRNA from 1 species
UACAGAGGGUGCAAGUGUUGUUCGGAAUUAUUGGGCGUAAAGCGCGCGUAGGUUGUAUAGCAAGUCGAAUGUGAAAGCCCUGGGCUCAACCCAGGAACUGCAUCCGAAACUGCUAUGCUAGAGUUUGGUAGAGGAGAGUGGAAUUCCCGGUGUAGAGGUGAAAUUCGUAGAGAUCGGGAGGAACACCAGUGGCGAAAGCGGCUCUCUGGGCCAAAACUGACGCUAAGGCGCGAAAGCGUGGGGAGCAAACAGG